GCUUUUCGCAAAUGCUUCAGGCAAUUCUGUUAUGAGGAUGUGACCGGAUCCCAUUAAGGUUUUAGUAAACUCUGGGAACUUUGCUGCUGGUGGCUGAAGCCAGAAAUGCGUUCCAAGGAGCAGAUACUUGAACUGCUGGUGAUUAAGCAGUUUCUCACCAUUUUACCCGAGAAUAUUCAGGCUUGGGCACAGAAGCAGUGUCCAGAAAGUGGAGAGGAGGUGGUGGCAUUGGUAGUGCAUUUGGAGAAAGAGACUGGAAAACUACGACAUCAGGUCAGUAGUCCUGUACAUACAAAGAAGAAAGCCCCCUUUGGAGCAGCAUGGGAGGUGUCAGAAUUUCAGCCAGCCCAGGUGGAAACCCAAGCCAGGGUGAUAUCUCAGGAGGAAGCUGGAAGCUACCACUCAGAACACCAGGAACAUCUGAACCAAAAGAAAGAACAUCAACCCUUACCCAAGAAUGCUAGGCCUUCUCCCUGGUUUCCUGCCCCUGCUGGUGAAUGGAGCACCACAGAUCAAGAAGUGAUAACCUCACAACAUCCCUUUGGGUCCCAGAAACCACUGAAAGAUGUCCACAUGACAAGAGGUUUCUCCUACAAAAGGAGUGUACAUCAGAUUCCUGCUCACAGAGGCCUCUACCAGGGUAUCAGGAAGGAGAGUGUUGGGAACAUGGUUUCCUUGGGUAGUACAGUGUCUAUAUCUAACAAGGCAACCCGGUUGGACCAAAGAAAAGAGCCGUGGACUCUAGGUCUACAUUCGUCCAAUAAGAGGAGCAUCCUGCGAAGCAACUACAUCAAGGAAAAGUCAGUUCAUGCCAUUCAGAUCCCUGCAAGGAGUGCCGGGAAAGCAUGGAGAGAGCAGCAACAGUGGGGUUUAGAAGAUGAAAAAAUAGCAGGUGUGCACUGGAGCUAUGAGGAAACUAAGACUUUUCUUGCAAUUCUCAAAGAGUCUCGCUUUUACGAAACUCUUCAGGCUUGUCCCCGAAAUAGCCAGGUAUAUGGUGCUGUGGCUGAAUGGUUGCGAGAAUGUGGCUCCCUCCGAACACCAGAACAGUGUCGGACUAAGUUCAAAAGUCUCCAAAAGAGCUAUCGAAAAGUGAGAAAUGGUCACAUGCUAGAACCCUGUGCCUUCUUUGAGGACAUGGAUGCAUUGUUGAACCCUGCAGCCCAUGCAUCAUCUGCUGAUAAGCCAAAAGAGAUGAUGUCUUUGCCCAGAAUGAAGAGAAUUGGCAUCACUGCUAAGGAACAGAUCAGUUUGCUGGAAGAGGAGGAGGAAGCUGCAGAAGAUUCUGAUGGUGAUGAAAUGGGCAUUGAAUUUAUCCGCAAGUCUGAGACCUGUGGUGCCCCUGUCUUAUUUCAAAACCUGAGUGGUAAGAAUUGUGCUUUAUUAAUCUGGUAUGAAAAUGGAUAUAUGGAAAAAGAAAUGAACCAGAAGCAACCAAACCUGGGUGUACUGCCAGCAUGCCUUGCCACUUGCACUAUGAUGUGGCCACAUAAAUUGAAAGUACUCUAA